rnacentral:rRNA from 1 species
UGGGGAAUAUUGGACAAUGGGCGAAAGCCUGAUCCAGCCAUGCCGCGUGUGUGAAGAAGGUCUUCGGAUUGUAAAGCACUUUAAGUUGGGAGGAAGGGCAGUAAGCGAAUACCUUGCUGUUUUGACGUUACCGACAGAAUAAGCACCGGCUAACUCUGUGCCAGCAGCCGCGGUAAUACAGAGGGUGCAAGCGUUAAUCGGAAUUACUGGGCGUAAAGCGCGCGUAGGUGGUUCGUUAAGUUGAAUGUGAAAGCCCCGGGCUCAACCUGGGAACUGCAUCCAAAACUGGCGAGCUAGAGUAGGGCAGAGGGUGGUGGAAGUUCCUGUGUAGCGGUGAAAUACGUAGAUAUAGGAAGGAACACCAGUGGCGAAGGCGACCACCUGGGCUCAUACUGACACUGAGGUGCGAAAGCGUGGGGAGCAAACAGG